rnacentral:rRNA from 1 species
GCUUUACUGUAACCUGGAAUUGGGUUCGGGCCCUUUUUGCGCAGACUAAGUGGGAGGCGUAGAAAAUUUUCUUUCGGAAAAUUGGAGCCAUUAUUGAGAGACCACUCUGGAAGACUAGAAUCCUAAUAGUGAUCCUUGUAUCAGGAUAAUUGACAGUUUCAGGUAGGCAGUUUCUCUGGGGGCGGAGGCCUCCUAAAAGGUAACGGAGGCGCGCAAAGGUUCCUCAGGCUGGACGGAAUCAGCCGAAGAAUGUAAAGGUAUAAGGGAGCUUGACUGCAAGACCUACAAGUCGAGCAGGGGCGAAGCCGGCCUUAGUGAUCCGA